rnacentral:rRNA from 1 species
UACGUAGGGUGCGAGCGUUGUCCGGAAUUAUUGGGCGUAAAGAGCUUGUAGGCGGUUUGUCGCGUCUGCUGUGAAAAUCCGGGGCUCAACCCCGGACUUGCAGUGGGUACGGGCAGACUGGAGUGUGGUAGGGGAGACUGGAAUUCCUGGUGUAGCGGUGGAAUGCGCAGAUAUCAGGAGGAACACCGAUGGCGAAGGCAGGUCUCUGGGCCACUACUGACGCUGAGAAGUGAAAGCAUGGGGAGCGAACAGG